rnacentral:rRNA from 1 species
UGGGCAACCUGCCCCUCUCUCUGGGAUAACCCCGGGAAACCGGAGCUAAUACCGGAUACUCCGGUCGAGCCGCAUGACUCGAUCGGGAAAGCUCCGACGGUCUGGGAUGGGCCCGCGGCCUAUCAGCUUGUUGGUGGGGUAACGGCCUACCAAGGCGACGACGGGUAGCUGGUCUGAGAGGACGACCAGCCACACUGGAACUGAGACACGGCCCAGACUCCUACGGGAG